UUGUCUUUUCACAUUUAGGGGCUGUAGAGGAGAUGCCUCGUGAAGCUCUCUCUCUCUCUUUCUCUGCAAAUCCCACGUCUGUGUUCAAGUCUUGCUUCGAUUUCUCCAAUCUCAAACCCUAAUUUCAUACAUAGAGAAGAUAGAAUUGAUGGAGUCGAGUCUUCCUUUCAAGAGAAGUAAACUCUGUUAUUGACUGUGGAUGUCUGAGAAACGAGAUUCUCUGAGUUGAAGCGGUUCCUCAAUUAACCACAUGCACCUUCCUCUCUCUCUUUCAUUCCUCAGUCGAUCUGUGCUAUGAAUAUCGGUGGUCGGUUCAUCGCCAGUUCUCAACAGGAAGAGUUUGUUCUGAUCAAUACUGAUGGAGAUGCCAGAAAUUCAUCGAGAACAUCUCCUGUUCGUCUUUAAGUUUCAGAUGACACGUAAUUCUACAAGAACAGCUUGCUAGCUUCUAAGAGUCUGGCCAGAAGACAGCGAUCAUGGUUUGUUCUCUGAUCUUCCAGAGAAAGAUCUGAAGGUCGGAUGGUCGAGGAGAAGACAAUAUAUUAACUAGAGUUUUUCUUGUGGCAGGUGGACAAACGAGCAUCAGGGAGACGAGGAGGAUAUAAACGUCGAUUUGACUGAACAGAAGAAAGCCAAUGACGUCGAUUCCAUCAGAAUCCAUCAAUAUCAUCGGCUUUGAGUUUCAGGUGAAUGUCCAGUGGUGAAAGGAAACAAAUGGUCAUCCACAAAAUGGUUCCAUGUCCACGAGUUCAAGGUUUAGAUUAAGAAAAAAAACUGAAGUGAAGUCGAGAAAAGAAAAGAAUUGAUAGGAAAGGGGAAAACAAGAUUUUAUUGUUUUGAAGUCAAAGUGUAAUUUAAAAUUUGGAUAUUUGAUGUUUGUUGUUUAAAACGUCUUGCUUUAGACUAUAUGAUUAUUAGGUAUUAAUAUGUACAAAAUAAAAUAUUUAGAUAACUGAA